rnacentral:lncRNA from 1 species
ACACACACACACACACACAGAGUGAAAAAGGCGAGCCACCAAAACCCAUCUCCAGUCUCCUCCCGGGGGCCCCCAGCCCGCCACUGUGCCACUUUGCAUCCCACGCCAGAGGAGACAUUAACGAGACCGGGCCUUUUAACCAGUUUGUGGUACAAAGAUACACGUCAGGAGGACCCUUAGGAGUCGUGGACAAGCCUCCCUGCAUGUGGCAGGUAUGUUUCUUGGGUAUGUGUCUAAGAAAUGUAACUUAAUUUCUUCUUUUAU